rnacentral:rRNA from 1 species
CCUACGGGAGGCAGCAGUGGGGGAUUUUGCACAAUGGGGGGAACCCUGAUGCAGCGACGCCGCGUGGGUGAAGAAGCGCCUCGGCGCGUAAAGCCCUGUCAGCAGGGAAGAAAAUGACGGUACCUGAAGAAGAAGCCCCGGCUAACUACGUGCCAGCAGCCGCGGUAAUACGUAGGGGGCAAGCGUUAUCCGGAUUUACUGGGUGUAAAGGGGGCGCAGACGGGGAUGCAAGACAGGAGUGAAAGCCCGGGGCCCAACCCCGGGACUGCUCUUGGAACUGCGUGGCUGGAGUGCAGGAGAGGCAGGCGGAAUGCCGGGUGUAGCGGUGAAAUGCGUAGAUAUUAGGAGGAACACCAGUGGCGAAGGCGUCUUACUGGACCGAAACUGACGUUGAGGCUCGAAAGCGUGGGGAGCAAACAGGAUUAGAUACCCGAGUAGUC